CCUACGGGUGGCAGCAGUGGGGAAUAUUGGGCAAUGGGCGCAAGCCUGACCCAGCAACGCCGCGUGAAGGAAGAAGGCUUUCGGGUUGUAAACUUCUUUUAAGAGGGAAGAGCAGAAGACGGUAACUCGUGAAUAAGCCACGGCUAACUACGUGCCAGCAGCCGCGGUAAUACGUAGGUGGCAAGCGUUUUUCGGAUGUACUGGGGGGAAAGGGCGGGUAGCCGGGCUGACAAGUCAGAUGUGAAAUCCGGGGGCUCCACCCCCGAACUGCAUUUGAAACUGUUGGGCUUGAGUAGCGGAGAGGCAGGCGGAAUUCCUAGUGUAGCGGUGAAAUGCGUAGAUAUUAGGAGGAACACCAGUGGCGAAGGCGGCCUGCUGGACGACAACUGACGGUGAGGCGCGAAAGCGUGGGGAGCAAACAGGAUUAGAUACCCGGGUAGUC
rnacentral:rRNA from 1 species